UACGUAGGGGGCAAGCGUUGUCCGGAUUUACUGGGUGUAAAGGGCGCGUAGGCGGGCUUGUAAGUCGAUGGUGAAAUCCUGCAGCUUAACUGCAGAACUGCCGUCGAUACUGCAAGUCUUGAGUUCGGAAGAGAGUAGCGGAAUUCCAGGUGUAGUAGUGAAAUACGUAGAUAUCUGGAAGAACACCAGUGGCGAAGGCGGCUACUUGGUCCGUAUCUGACGCUGAGGCGCGAAAGCGUGGGGAG
rnacentral:rRNA from 1 species